GAAGGUAUAGCUCAGUAGUAGAGCUCACACUUAGCAUGUAUGAGGUCCUCGGUUCAAUCCCCAGUACCUCCA
rnacentral:tRNA from 1 species